AUAGCUUCCUAACUAAUAUGUCUUGUAAUGGAUUUUACUCCCCGGUUGCUCUGUUUCCCUUCAUUGGCGUUUUGUUUCAAACUCGAGAAAAACGGAAAUGCAAACAAUAAAAAAAACGGAGGACCGUGGGAAAAGGGAAAGAAAAAGAAGACAGGGAGACACGAGAGUAAGAUUAUGGUCCACAGUAACGAAGAGAAAGGGGAAGAUCGCAUGGAAAGCGAAAGGAACGGAACAGAAUAGAUUGGAUCCUAGAUCAGAGUUUCGACAGAACUCAACAGUGGAGAGUUUCUAACGUAGUUCUCUGGGGAGAUAGAUCCCAGAAGGGUAUACAGAAAAGAACUGGACAGCGGUGGAAUUUUGAAGCUUAUCGUAUUCAUCAUCUGUGUGGACUUUACCUUUGUAGAUUCUCGCAGCCACUCUCCCGUAGAGGAUUGAUUUUGUUCGCUCACAUUUCACUAUAAAUGGUAUCAUCCAGGUUCUCCGAACGAACAUUUAGAUGUAUUAUG
rnacentral:lncRNA from 1 species